GACGAACGCUGGCGGCGUGCCUAAUACAUGCAAGUCGAGCGAAUCAGAUGGGAGCUUGCUCCUGGAUGAUUAGCGGCGGACGGGUGAGUAACACGUGGGCAACCUGCCCGUAAGAUUGGGAUAACUCCGGGAAACCGGUGCUAAUACCGAAUAGUUUCCGACACCUCAUGGUGUCAGAGGGAAAGUUGGCUUUUAGCUAACACUUACGGAUGGGCCCGCGGCGCAUUAGCUAGUUGGUGAGGUAACGGCUCACCAAGGCGACGAUGCGUAGCCGACCUGAGAGGGUGAUCGGCCACACCGGGACUGAGACACGGCCCAGACUCCUACGGGAGGCAGCAGUAGGGAAUCUUCCGCAAUGGACGAAAGUCUGACGGAGCAACGCCGCGUGAGCGAAGAAGGCCUUCGGGUCGUAAAGCUCUGUUGUCAGGGAAGAACAAGUGCCAUUCGAAUAGGCUGGCACCUUGACGGUACCUGACCAGAAAGCCACGGCUAACUACGUGCCAGCAGCCGCGGUAA
rnacentral:rRNA from 1 species